GAUGAACGCUGGCGGCGUGCCUAACACAUGCAAGUCGAGCGAACAGAUUAGGAGCUUUCUCCUUUGACUUUAGCUGCGAUCGGUUGAGUACCACGUGGGUAACCUCCCUAUAAUACCCUGAUUACUUCGUUAAACUGGCGCCAAUACCGGAUAACUUUUACCACCUCACGCUUCUUAAUCGCAUGAUCAUUUUGCUAUCACUUAUAGAUGGACCCGAGCCUCAUUAGCUAUUUGGUAAGUUAACGGCUUACCAAGGCGACGAUACGUAGUCGACCUGAGAGGGUGAUCGACCACACUGGAACUGAGACACGGUCCAGACUCCUAAGGGAGGCAGCAGUAGGGAAUCUUACGGAAGGGGGGAAAGCCGGACGGAGCAACGCCGCGUGAGUGAUGAAGGGGUUCGGCUCGGAAAACGAAGUUAUUAGGGAAGAACAAAUGUGUAAGUAACAGUGAACGUCCUGACGGUACCUAAAGAGAAAGCCACGGCUAACUACGUG
rnacentral:rRNA from 1 species